rnacentral:rRNA from 1 species
AAAUAGAUACCCGGGUAGUCCACGCCGUAAACGAUGAGUGCUAAGUGUUAGAGGGGUUUCCGCCCUUUAGUGCUGCAGCUAACGCAUUAAGCACUCCGCCUGGGGAGUACGGUCGCAAGACUGAAACUCAAAGGAAUUGACGGGGGCCCGCACAAGCGGUGGAGCAUGUGGUUUAAUUCGAAGCAACGCGAAGAACCUUACCAGGUCUUGACAUCCCACUGACCGGUAUAGAGAUAUACCUUUCCCUUCGGGGACAGUGGUGACAGGUGGUGCAUGGUUGUCGUCAGCUCGUGUCGUGAGAUGUUGGGUUAAGUCCCGCAACGAGCGCAACCCUUGAUCUUAGUUGCCAGCAUUUAGUUGGGCACUCUAAGGUGACUGCCGGUGACAAACCGGAGGAAGGUGGGGAUGACGUCAAAUCAUCAUGCCCCUUAUGACCUGGGCUACACACGUGCUACAAUGGAUGGUACAAAGGGCUGCAAGACUGCGAAGUCAAGCCAAUCCCAUAAAACCCAUUCUCAGUUCGGAUUGCAGG